rnacentral:rRNA from 1 species
GACGAACGCUGGCGGCGUGCUUAACACAUGCAAGUCGAACGGAAAGGCCCUGCUUGCAGGGUCCGCGAGUGGCGAACGGGUGAGUAAUACAUGGGAGAUCUGCCCUGCACGGGGGGUUAAGCCUGGGAAACUGGGUUUAUAACCGGUUAGGAGCGAUGGUUAGUGUGGUGGUUGGAAAGGUCUUUCGGUGUUGGAUGGGCUGGCGGCCUAUUAGCUUGUUGGUGGGGUAAUGGCUUACCAAGGCGGCGAUGGGUAGCCGGCCUGAGAGGGUGGACGGCCACAUUGGGACUGAGAUACGGACCAGACGCCUACGGGAGACAGCAGUGGGGAAUAUUGCACAAUGGGGGCAAGCCUGAUGAAGCGACGCCGCGUGGGGGAUGACGGCCUUCGGGUUGUAAACUCCUUUCGCUAGAGACGAAGCGUGUUUGAAGGUAACGGAGAAAGGAGGAACGGCUAACUAAGGG